rnacentral:rRNA from 1 species
AACGAACGCUGGCGGCAUGCCUAACACAUGCAAGUCGAACGAGACCUUCGGGUCUAGUGGCGCACGGGUGCGUAACGCGUGGGAACCUGCCCUUAGGUUCGGAAUAACUCCCCGAAAGGGGUGCUAAUACCGGAUAAUGUCUUCGGACCAAAGAUUUAUCGCCUUUGGAUGGGCCCGCGUUGGAUUAGCUAGUUGGUAGGGUAAAAGCCUACCAAGGCGACGAUCCAUAGCUGGUCUGAGAGGAUGAUCAGCCACACUGGGACUGGGACACGGCCCAGACUCCUACGGGAGGCAGCAGUGGGGAAUAUUGGACAAUGGGCGAAAGCCUGAUCCAGCAAUGCCGCAUGAGUGAUGAAGGCCUUAGGGUUGUAAAGCUCUUUUACCCGGGAUGAUAAUGACAGUACCGGGAGAAUAAGCUCUGGCUAACUCCGUG